UUUUGCUGGUUACACUUUAUGCAUUACUUGAUGCAAUCGUACACGGUUCUACUUUAAAGAUACAAGAUCAUUUCCUCCUUUUUUAAUAACACUUUGGUUUAGGUUAAAACAACUAUUUCAUAAAUUCUAUAAUUCAUAAACAGUUUAGAACCAAAAAGUUAAAUAAUAAAAUAAAA